rnacentral:rRNA from 1 species
UACGGAGGGUGCAAGCAUUGAUCGGAAUUACUGGGCGUAAAGGGCGCGUAGGCGGUCAGCACAAGUCAGUUGUGAAAUCUCCGAGCUUAACUCGGAACGGUCAACUGAUACUGUGCGACUAGAGUGCGGAAGGGGCAACUGGAAUUCUCGGUGUAGCGGUGAAAUGCGUAGAUAUCGAGAGGAACACCUGCGGCGAAGGCGGGUUGCUGGGCCGACACUGACGCUGAUGCGCGAAAGCCAGGGGAGCGAACAGG